CCCCUACGGGAGGCAGCAGUGGGGAAUAUUGCACAAUGGGGGAAACCCUGAUGCAGCGACGCCGCGUGAGUGAAGAAGUAUCUCGGUAUGUAAAGCUCUAUCAGCAGGAAAGAUAAUGACGGUACCUGACUAAGAAGCCCCGGCGAACUACGUGCCAGCAGCCGCGGUAAUACGUAGGGGGCAAGCGUUAUCCGGAUUUACUGGGUGUAAAGGGAGCGUAGACGGCAGCGCAAGUCUGGAGUGAAAUGCCGGGGCUCAACCCCGGAACUGCUUUGGAAACUGGGCGGCUCGAGUGCGGGAGAGGU
rnacentral:rRNA from 1 species